CUGUCAAUUGUGUUCCAACAUGAUCAUUGAUCUCAAACCUCUCAUAGAAUUGCAGUAAGUCGACUAGCUGUGCAAAUAGCUUCCCCUUGUCAUGUCUGUAAAGAGCACUUAAAUGACAUUUUGCAACAACAGCUACAUCAGCCACAAGAGGCCUCAGGUACCUCCUUGUUGGCAGUUGGCUCAACAGAUCAAUAAGAAAUUCCAUGAACCUCUCACAAUACAAAACUGCAGCAUCAUCAACUUCAUCGAAACUACUAUCAAGUCCAUCUUCACUAACAGAAC
rnacentral:misc_RNA from 1 species